CAAAGUGCUGCAGAGACUGGCAGAAUGUGGACACAAAGCUUCUCGGACAAAACUGCAAUUCUGCCAGCCUCAGGUGGAAUUCCUUGGCAGAGUAAUCUCCCAUGGAACAAUAGCUCUGUCUCCUGACCACCUCAAAGGCAUAAGUCGAGCACCGCGUCCACAGACAUGCGCGCAACUAAUGACCUUUUAAGGUAUCACAGGAUUCAGCGCGGAGUGGUUGGAGGACUACGCAGUAAAGACGGCGCCGCUUAGGGAUCUCCUGAAGUCCUCUGAAGCCAAGACUUUAAAGAAGUCUUUGGAGUGGACCACAGAGGCACUGUUGGCUUUUGAUGUGCUCAAGCAGGAACUGCAAAAUGCCCCAGCGCUGAAAAUGCCAGAAUAUGAUAAACUUUUCUAUCUUUACGUUUCAAACAGAUGCAACAUGUACGCAACGGCUGUAUUGGCACAAGACUCAUGUGCUGGUGGAAGGAAACAACCCAUCGCUUACUACAGUGCAAGGUUGGACGACGUAGCACGAGGGUGGCCCCCCUGCUACCAGGGCCUCGCAGCUGUUCACAUGGCGUAUGAAAAGGCGUCUGCAAUAACUAAGUCAUAUCCUGUGGUUAUUUACACCCAUCAUAAAAUCACAGAGUUGAUCAAUCACAGCAAACUUGUUCUGACAACAGCACGUUGCCUUCAGUAUCUACCAUUGCUCACCUAUCCAGAUGUAACAAUUAAGAGAUGUGAGACCACAAAUCCUGCUAAUAUGUUACCUUUUGAAUUUGAAGGUGAUACGCACGAGUGCGUCGCUGAGACCACGAGGUACACAAAACUGAGACCGGACUUGGAAUCUGAGCCGUUGGACAACGCACAGGUCACGUACUAUGUAGAUGGGUCAUGCUUUCGAGACCACAUGGGAACUCACGCAGGCUACGCCGUGGUGCAACAAAAGGAAGGGACGUUUGUGACAAUAAAAGCUGAAAAGUGUUUACAACCUUGCUCUGCACAAUUAGCUGAAUUGUAUGGACUUACUGCAGCUUGUGAACUUGCUAAAGACUCCUCUGCUAAUAUCUACACAGAUUCAGCAUACGCUCACGGAGUAUGUCACCUGUUCGGAGCAGUUUGGAAACUGCGCGGCUUUCAAAAAUCAGAUGGUAAACCUGUUCGGCAUGGGAAACAGAUUAUGAAGCUAAUCUCGGCCAUGAUGCUUCCACAUCGAUUGGCCAUUAUCAAGUGUCCUGCUCAUCAAAAAGACAACUCCAUCACCACGAUGGGAAACAACGCGGCAGACGAAGCUGCAAAGCACGCUUCAGGUUGCAAGAGUGUCACAAACCAGACCACUGUGGGCGAGAUGAGGUGAUACAUCGAAUACAACAACAGGGUUAUUGGGCGCCGUACCUGCAGGCAUUGGUGACGGAUGCGCUUAAUCGGUGCGAGAUAUGCUCGCAGAACAACGUUCGAAAAGGAAAAAGCGAACGAGCCAAAACCUGUCUCUG